ensembl:snRNA U6 U6 spliceosomal RNA
GUGCUCACUUCAGCUGCACGUAUACUAAAAUUGGAAUGAUACAGAGAAGAUUAGCAUGGCCCCCGAGCAAGGAUGACAUGCAAAUUCAUGAGGCAUUCCAUGUUUUU